UCAAGCUAAUAAGAGCACAGGGUGGAUGCCCAGGCACCAAACGCCGACGAAAGACGUGGCAAGCUGCGAAAAGUCACGGGGAACCGCAAGCAGGUAUUGAUCCGUGAACGUCUGAAUGGGGAAACCCGGCGGGUUAACAGCCCGUCACUAUUAACUGAAUCAAUAGGUUAAUAGGGGGAACGCGGGGAACUGAAACAUCUCAGUACCCGUAGGAAGAGAAAAUAAAGAAUGAUUUCCUAAGUAGCGGCGAGCGAACGGGAAAGAGGCCAAACCGAAGGGCUUGCUCUUCGGGGUUGUGGAUCAGCAAAAAGGACGAGAGACCUUAGCAGAAGAGGAUUGGAAAGUCCCGCCAGAGAGGGUAAAAGCCCCUUACGCGAAAAGGUCAAACGACGAGCUGACACCAGAGUACCGCAGGACACGAGAAAUCCGGUGGGAAGCCGGGAGGACCACCUCCCAAGCCUAAAUACGAAUUGGUGACCGAUAGCGCAUAGUACCGUGAGGGAAAGGUGAAAAGAACCCCGGGAGGGGAGUGAAAAAGAACCUGAAACCCUGUGUUUACAAGCAGUGAAAGUGCGAGCAAGGCACGAUCACGUACUUUUUGUAGAACGGACCGGCGAGUUACGUUAUGCAGCAAGGUUAAGAACUGAAGGUUCGGAGCCGAAGCGAAAGCGAGUCUGAAUAGGGCGAAAGUUGCAUGACGUAGACCCGAAACCGGGUGACCUAUCCAUGAGCAGGUUGAAGUGGAGGUAAAGCUCCAUGGAGGACCGAACCAGACGUCUGUUGAAAAAGGCGGGGAUGACUUGUGGAUAGGGGAGAAAUUCCAAUCGAACCCGGAGAUAGCUGGUUCUCCUCGAAAUAGCUUUAGGGCUAGCCUCAUGGAUCAUUGGUGGGGGUAGAGCACUGAAUGUGCGCGGGGGCCACAAAGCCUACCAAACGCUAUCAAACUUCGAAUACCAUACAAUGCAGACCAUGGGAGUCAGUCCGCGAGAGAUAAGUUCCGCGGGCAAAAGGGGAACACCCCAGAUCAACCGCUAAGGUCCCCAAGUUCACGUUAAGUGGAGAAGGAUGUGGAAUUGCACAGACAACCAGGAUGUUGGCUCAGAAGCAGCCACACAUUUAAAGAGUGCGUAAUAGCUCACUGGUCGAGUGAUUGUGCGCCGAAGAUGUCCGGGGCUAAACGUGACACCGAAGCGAUGGGUGCAUCUGAAAGGAUGCGCGGUAGAGGAGCAAUGUGCAGAGGCAGAAGCCGUAUCGAGAGGCACGGUGGACACUGCACAAGAGAGAAUGCCGGUAUGAGUAGCGAGAGGCAUGCGAGAAACAUGCCCGUCGAAAGCCCAAGGUUUCCUGGGGAAGGUUCAUCCGCCCAGGGUAAGUCGGGGCCUAAGCCGAGGACGGAAGUCGUAGGCGAUGGACAGCAGGUGUAGAUUCCUGCACUACCGAUGGAAUGAAGCAGUGACACAGAAGGAUAACUCGAGCAGGGUGAUGGUCAACCCUGUGCAAGCAUCAAGGUUGGGUUGUAGUGAAGUACGCAAUCCUAUAAGCUGAGAUGUGAUGCGGACCGAAAUUUCAGUAGGGAAGCGAGUGAGUUCACGCUGGCGAGAAAAGCUGCUAGUACAUCCAAAGGUACCCGUACCGGAAACCGACGCAGGUGGGCGAGGAGAGAAUCCUGAGACGAACGGGAGAACCCUUGUUAAGGAACUCGGCAAAAUGACCCCGUAACUUCGGGAUAAGGGGUGCCUGCGAGAGCAGGCCGCAGAGAAUAGUCACAAGCGACUGUUUAGCAAAAACACAGGUAUCUGCGAAAGCGAGAGCUGACGUAUAGGUGCUGACACCUGCCCGGUGCUGGAAGGUUAAGGGAACAUGUUAGAGCAAUCGAAGCAUCGAACCGAAGCCCCAGUAAACGGCGGCCGUAACUAUAACGGUCCUAAGGUAGCGAAAUUCCUUGUCGGGUAAGUUCCGACCCGCACGAAUGGUGUAACGACUUGUGAGCUGUCUCAACAGGGGGCCCGGUGAAAUUGAAGUAUGGGUGAAGAUGCCCAUUACCCGCGACUGGACGGAAAGACCCCGUAGAGCUUUACUGCAGCCUGAUAUUGAGUUUCGGUAACUGAUGCACAGGAUAGGUGGGAGUCUGAGAGACAUGGGUUUCGGCUCAUGAGGAGACGGUGUUGGGAUACCACUCUUCGGUUACUGAAAUUCUAACAUAGCUCUGUGAAACCAGAGGAUGGACAGUGUCAGGUGGACAGUUUGACUGGGGCGGUCGCCUCCGAAAG
rnacentral:rRNA from 1 species